AUCCUUUUUGGUUCAUAGUGUGAUGAUUGGGUGUUCACGCUGUUGUGUGAGAUGUGCCUCCCUCUGAACCUUGUUACAACAUUGACCCAUUGGCAUAUUAUCUAUCUGCCA
rfam:Ictidomys tridecemlineatus contig023901, whole genome shotgun sequence.